UACGUAGGGUGCUAGCGUUGUCCGGAUUUAUUGGGCGUAAAGGGCUCGUAGGCGGUCUGUCACGUCGGGAGUGAAAACCCAGGGCUCAACCCUGGGCCUGCUUCCGAUACGGGCAGACUAGAGGUAUGCAGGGGAGAAUGGAAUUCCUGGUGUAGCGGUGAAAUGCGCAGAUAUCAGGAGGAACACCGGUGGCGAAGGCGGGUCUCUGGGCCGAUAUUGACGCUGAGGAGCGAAAGCGUGGGGAGCAAACAGG
rnacentral:rRNA from 1 species